rnacentral:rRNA from 1 species
GACGAACGCUGGCGGCGUGCCUAAUACAUGCAAGUAGAACGCUGAAGCUUGGUGCUUGCACCGAGCGGAUGAGUUGCGAACGGGUGAGUAACGCGUAGGUAACCUGCCUGGUAGCGGGGGAUAACUAUUGGAAACGAUAGCUAAUACCGCAUAACAGUAUAUAUCGCAUGAUAGCUACUUGAAAGGUGCAAAUGCACCACUACAAGAUGGACCUGCGUGGUAUUAGCUAGUUGGUGAGGUAACGGCUCACCAAGGCAAAGAUACAUAGCCGACCUGAAAGGGGGGUCGGCCAACCCGGGACUGAGAAACGGCCCAGACUCCUACGGGAGGCAGCAGUAGGGAAUCUUCGGCAAUGGACGGAAGGCUGACCGAGCAACGCCGCGUGAGUGAAGAAGGGUUUCGGAUCGUAAAGCUCUGUUGUAAGAGAAGAACGAGUGUGAGAGUGGAAAGUUCACACUGUGACGGUAUCUUACCAGAAAGGGACGGCUAACUACGUG